rnacentral:rRNA from 3 species
GGACUACUGGGGUAUCUAAUCCCGUUUGCUCCCCUGGCUUUCGCGCCUCAGCGUCAGAUGGGGUCCAGCACGCCGCCUUCGCCACCGGAGUUCCUGUGAAUAUCAACGCAUUUCACCGCUCCACUCACAGUUCCGCAUGCCCCUACCCCCCUCGAGGCCGCCCGUAUCCGAGGCAGUUCCACGGUUAAGCCGUGGGAUUUCACCCCGGACGCGACAGCCCGCCUACGCGCCCUUUAAGCCCAGUGAUUCCGAACAACGUUCGCACGGUUCGUCUUACCGCGGCUGCUGGCAC